AUGGCCAGAGGGGUCACAGUGACACUCCUGCUGCUGCUCAGUCCAGCAUUGGCUAAUCAGGUCACCCAGUUCACAUCUAUAGAAGCGAUUGAAGGUGACGAUGUGGCUCUCCAAUGUAACCACAGCAGUGUGACUUCUUCAACCAUCUUCUGGUAUCAGCAAAUCCUCAGCCAGGCACCGGAACUCGUGCUGGGAGGCUACUCCAGUACCAGAAGUGCCAAGGCCACGUUAACCAUCCAGGAAGACAGAAAAAAAUCCAAUAUCCUGACACUGCACAACAUCCAGGUGACAGAUUUAGCUGUGUACUACUGUGCUCUGACUACUUAUGACUCUACGAAUAAGGUGAUAUUUGGACAAGGAACGAGUCUAACUGUAAAACCAAAUGUCACCAACCCUCAGCCAAGAAUGUACCAUCUGAAAAAACCCCGAGUGAACGACUUGUCCGUUUGCCUGUUCACUGAUUUCGGCAAUGAAGAAGUUAAUAUGAUGGGAAUAAAUAAUAUCAAGAGGACUCCCAGUAUGGUGGCUGAGAAGAGACUGGCUUCCAAGAGUCUCGGCAUUGUGGCAUGGAACAACAAUCUGGAUUGGAAGUGCCAAGCAAAGAUUUCCAACAUAACGUACAGCUUGUCCAACAGCUCAGGAAAAGUGUGCAACACCACAGCUGUGACCGAAAACUUCUCAUCAGACCCAUACCUGAACUCCAUAAACUUGGCCAUGAUUUUCCUCCGCGUCAUCUUCGUGAAGACCGUGGGCUUCAACCUGCUCAUGACCCUGAAACUGUGGUCAAGUUGAAGUUCUGCCCCCUUCAGCUCCUUCCUUCCUGUUGAGCAAGAGGAGCAAACACACCCAUUGACAGUCAUCACAGUGGAAGAUCUUCCAUCUCCCGCAGAACAUCCCGCGAGGACCACGCCCAGCACCCAAGGGCACCUGAACUUGAAAGCAUCCACCCGGCCUCCCUUCCUGUUGUCAUUUCCAAGAUCGGCCUGGACCAGGAGGCCUGGAAACACCCCCCCUGCAACCCUCCCAGCCAUAACCAAAACCCACGUCUAAGAACACCCCUCAGCGAUGCGAUGGGGGGUGUCCGUCGUCUCCUUCUGCCCUAGGACUCUUGACCUUCAACCUUCCAGCUGUAAUUAAGCCCUGCUAAAGAGUUUUUUUUAUUAUUUUUAGUAGAAUUGGGAAAGGAAUCCAUUGCACUUUCUCUUAAGUUUUGGAAAAGAUUGUAUCCCUAGCCACGCCCGCUGGAUCCCAGCAGCCUUUGACUUCUCACCGCCGCCUCGAGCAUUAAGCUUCAUUAAAAACCUUUCUGACCAGCA